GGGGAUGCCUUGGCUCUCAGAGACGACGAAGGACGUGGUAAGCUGCGAAAAGCUACGGGGAGCUGCAAACGAGCGU
rnacentral:rRNA from 1 species